UUUGCAACCACUUGGAUGAACUCAUCAUCUGUAAAUUUUACGAUAUUGAUCAAUUUAAAUUCUGAGCUUGGAGGAUUCAAGAAGAUGUUGGGGCAGCUUCAGUUUGGCCAAGGGACAUGAGCUGCAUAGCGAUUUCAUUCAUUUCAGCAAGACGAACUUCAUUCGCUUUGAGGUCUGUUUGGAAAUCAUCAAAUUUCUUUUGCAUAACCUCAACUUGUUCCAGAUCAACUGUUUCAAUGACAUCUUGAACAGGGGCAUGAUUUUCCUGAAAAAUGAUAACGCAAAAAGAAUAGGGGCAUCAAAGCGACUGAUAAAAAAUAAUCCACAGUUAUGAGCAUGUUACAAUACACUGAUCACUGGUAGGGACCAAAUCCAUCCAAUUUGAACAUAUAUGUGCUUCUCUGCGAUGAAAUAAGGUAGAAGAAGAGGAUAGAUAGGUAGUAGAAAGCACCUGUUUUUUUUUAACAGUAUAUUGAUGUGAAAAUUUGAUUCAGCUAAUUUACCUUCUUCAUCUAGUAAAAGAAUUGUCUCGCUAACCUCAUCUUCGUUUUUUUUUUUUUUUUUUUUUUUUUUUUUUUUUUUGGGUUCAUCCUUCGAGCUUAAUCAUUAAUGUGUUUUUAGGGCUUUUCUCCCCAGUAAGGGAAGGAUAACAACAAGGUCUUGAAAAGUUGCAUUCUAAUUGAACAAUUUUGUACAUGAGCCCGGUGGACUAGAAUUUUAAGUUUCUGGUGAACUGUAUUUUUAUAAUUGCGAACUUAAAAGCGCCAUAUAUUCAGUUUGGAUUGAAAUAGGUGUGCUAUUUUUGUAGCCAAGUGUUCAUUAAACAAAUCUCAACACUCUAACAUCAAUAGCUCAAUUUUGAGCUUUGUGGACCACAGCCCCUUUUCCUAGGGACUGUAAAGUAUAUUCACAUACUUUUUUCAGUGAAUGAGAUUUAAAGAAUGACAAAAUAAUGAUAAAUUAGUAAUCGUAAAGCAGUUUUCUGAAUAAUUAUAAAACCAGACAUUAUCCUACCUUAUCCUUGAUCCAAGCAGCCAAUUCUGCAGCUUCACGAACUAAAACGUAAGCCUUGACGGUUUCAUUAAGCUUGUUCUGACGCUCACGGGCCAAUGCCAGUAAGUGAUCAUAUUCCGUUUCAAUCUGGUUUUGGCGAGCAGAGAUGGAACUGCUGUCUGCAAGGUUCUGUUGGGAAGCAGUCAGUCCAGCCUCGAUUUUCUUAACAUAAGCUGCAGGGAUGAAUCCUUGCCGAUCGUGACUUCGACUUUCCACCAGUCCUGUUGAAGACAAAUAUCAAAAGGUGAAUGCACAGCCAAACUAAAUAGACACAAAUACUGACAGGUAUAUGCGAAGGAUUAUAUUCCUAAGAAUCUUCUAUACUGAUCUAAGGAAAAUUUCAAGAGCUUUAAGUCCAGCACUGUUCCAACUUUACCGAGGGCAGCAGGUGUGAUGCGCCUGAAAAUUAAUAUUUUUGCCAGAAAAUUCUGAAGGCUCCUAAAAUUAGGCCCUGUGACUAAUAAGAUUGAUAAAAUUUUGGGGUAAAGUUGUAACACUUGAAUUAAGAGUGAAAGCUGCAAAUUAAUAAAAACAAGGGUACCUUACUUAGGUUACUUUCACGGAUACUAAACGAAAAAUUAAUUACUCUAGUAACAAUCCGGGAGUAUUCUCACAAGUCGAGAAUGUUGAUACGAGCCCUUCUAUUGUUAAUUCAGUGUCACAAGAAUGGUAUGAUGGCAGCCGAAAGCAUUCAUAUCAAUAUUCUAGGGUAGUCAGAUUUUAACAUCCCAGGAUGUUAAUUCAGCAGAUUUGUUUCCUAUGUAGAUUUCUACUGCAAUUAAAGCACUAACACUACUAACCUUCUUUGUGGAGUUGAGUAAAGUAAGAAUGUCGCCUUUCUUCAUAGAUACUUCACGAGGAGAUUUUUCAGUGUAAUCAUACAGGGCAACCACAUACUCUUUUCCGGCAACAUCAAUUACCGGGGUUUCCUGUUGCUGUAAACCAAAAAAUAGAACUUCAUCAGCAAAACACAUACCUUAACACAAUAAUAUACUCACGAAAAUUUAGGAUUCUAUCUUUGAGGACAUAGCUGAAUACAAACAAAUAAAGGAAAUUCAUAAAAACUGACUUGUGAGGUUAAGAAUACUUGGUGCCUUGGCUAUUGAAUAAUUUAUAUUAAUCGUCACAGACACCUUUGGUGUAAUUCUGUACUUUUGGAAAGAAAAACUAUCAAUUCUUUUCAUUGAAA
rnacentral:lncRNA from 1 species